CAAGGCACCGAUACGUAGCCGACCUGAGAGGGUGAUCGGCCACACUGGAACUGAGACACGGUCCAGACUCUUACGGGAGGCAGCAGUAGGGAAUCUUCCGCAAUGGGCGAAAGCCUGACGGAGCAACGCCGCGUGAGUGAUGAAGGUCUUAGGAUCGUAAAACUCUGUUGUUAGGGAAGAACAAAUUUGUUAGUAACUGAACAAGUCUUGACGGUACCUAACCAGAAAGCCACGGCUAACUACGUGCCAGCAGCCGCGGUAAUACGUAGGUGGCAAGCGUUAUCCGGAAUUAUUGGGCGUAAAGCGCGCGUAGGCGGUUUCUUAAGUCUGAUGUGAAAGCCCACGGCUCAACCGUGGAGGGUCAUUGGAAACUGGGGAACUUGAGUGCAGAAGAGGAGAGUGGAAUUCCAUGUGUAGCGGUGAAAUGCGCAGAGAUAUGGAGGAACACCAGUGGCGAAGGCGGCUCUCUGGUCUGUAACUGACGCUGAUGUGCGAAAGCGUGGGGAUCAAACAGAAUUAGAUACCCUGGUAGUCCACGCCGUAAACGAUGAGUGCUAAGUGUUAGGGGGUUUCCGCCCCUUAGUGCUGCAGCUAACGCAUUAAGCACUCCGCCUGGGGAGUACGACCGCAAGGUUGAAACUCAAAGGAAUUGACGGGGACCCGCACAAGCGGUGGAGCAUGUGGUUUAAUUCGAAGCAACGCGAAGAACCUUACCAAAUCUUGACAUCCUUUGACCGCUCUAGAGAUAGAGUUUUCCCCUUCGGGGGACAAAGUGACAGGUGGUGCAUGGUUGUCGUCAGCUCGUGUCGUGAGAUGUUGGGUUAAGUCCCGCAACGAGCGCAACCCUUAAGCUUAGUUGCCAUCAUUAAGUUGGGCACUCUAGGUUGACUGCCGGUGACAAACCGGAGGAAGGUGGGGAUGACGUCAAAUCAUCAUGCCCCUUAUGAUUUGGGCUACACACGUGCUACAAUGGAUAAUACAAAGGGCAGCGAACCCGCGAGGUCAAGCAAAUCCCAUAAAAUUAUUCUCAGUUCGGAUUGUAGUCUGCAACUCGACUACAUGAAGCUGGAAUCGCUAGUAAUCGUAGAUCAGCAUGCUACGGUGAAUACGUUCCCGGGUCUUGUACACACCGCCCGUCACACCACGAGAGUUUGUAACACCCGAAGCCGGUGGAGUAACCUUUUAUUAGGAGCUAGCCGUCGAAGGUGGGAC
rnacentral:rRNA from 1 species